rnacentral:rRNA from 1 species
UACGGAGGAUCCAAGCGUUAUCCGGAUUUAUUGGGUUUAAAGGGUGCGUAGGCGGCUUUUUAAGUCAGGGGUGAAAACUUGCGGCUCAACCGUAAGCUUGCCUUUGAUACUGAGGAGCUUGAAUACACUUGAGGUAGGCGGAAUGUGACAAGGUAGCGGUGAAAUGCAUAGAUAUGUCACAGAACACCAAUUGCGAAGGCAGCUUACUAAAGUGAGAUUGACGCUGAGGCACGAA